rnacentral:rRNA from 1 species
UACGUAGGUGACAAGCGUUGUCCGGAUUUACUGGGCGUAAAGAGCGCGCAGGCGGUCGUUCAAGUCGAGUGUGAAAGCCCCCGGCUCAACUGGGGAGGGUCAUUCGAUACUGAUCGACUCGAAGGCAGGAGAGGGAAGUGGAAUUCCCGGUGUAGUGGUGAAAUGCGUAGAGAUCGGCAGGAACCCCCAGGGGGAAACCAGCCGCCUGGGCAAGCGCUGACGCUGAGGUGCGAGAGCGUGGGGAGCGAACCGG